rnacentral:lncRNA from 1 species
GAAAAACUGCUAACAAUUUCUCUCUCUAAUAGAAAAUGUAAUAUUUUUAUAAACAAAAUAUGAUAAAUUAUGAAAUAAAUAAUGAUACUUUUGAUGAGUUCCAAGAUCCAACUUUUUAGUCAAAGUAAAUGUAAUAUAAGUUGAAAACAUAGUAAAUCAGAAAAUUUUACAGUAUUCUGCAACCAAUACAAUUUUUUUUUUAUUUUUUUUUUAAAUUUAAAUAGAAAUAAUAAUGCUAUUACCCUAUAAUAGAAAAAAGAUAGUAGUACCCUGCUUCUUCCAGCAGCAAAUGUGGCUCCAGUUUCCUCAUUUUUUGGUCUCUUGGCUAUUGGCAAAGCAGGAGGUACCCAUCUAGACAAUCAAAAAGUAUACAAUUUAGUCUCAUUUCAAUUUAGUUAUAUUAUAUAUGUAGAUUAGGCUUUAGGGUGAAUAAUAAUAUUUUCAUUUUUUACCUUUUCAACCAACGAAUCUUUAUACUCCACAAUAAAGGGAUUUCGCAUUUUCGAUAUAAGCUCCAUCUACAAAUAGAGAUUGUAGAUUAGUUUGGACAUUUUGAAAGUAAAAGACUUUUCCAGAUAGCUCAUUUUUUAAGCUUGCAAGAUCAUCAUCAACUGAUGAGCUCUCUAGCAUUGCAAACUGCAAAAGGGUAAAUCCGUAAAUUCAGAAAGAAC